GACGAACGCUGGCGGCGUGCUUAACACAUGCAAGUCGAACGAUGAAGCCGGAGCUUGCUCUGGUGGAUUAGUGGCGAACGGGUGAGUAACACGUGAGUAACCUGCUCUUGACUCUGGGAUAAGCGUUGGAAACGACGUCUAAUACAGGAUACGAGCUAGGACCGCAUGGUCACUAGCUGGAAAGAACCUCGGUCAAGGAUGGACUCGCGGCCUACCAGCUAGUUGGUGAGGUAACGGCUCACCAAGGCGACGACGGGUAGCCGGCCUGAGAGGGUGACCGGCCACACUGGGACUGAGACACGGCCCAGACUCCUACGGAAGGCAGCAGUGGGGAAUAUUGCACAAUGGGCGCAAGCCUGAUGCAGCAACGCCGCGUGAGGGACGACGGCCUUCGGGUUGUAAACCUCUUUUAGCAGGGAAGAAGCGCAAGUGACGGUACCUGCAGAAAAAGCACCGGCUAACUACGUGCCAGCAGCCGCGGUAACAC
rnacentral:rRNA from 1 species